GGAAUUCGCAAAUGAGGGCUUUUUACGUGGUCAAAAGCACCUGCUUCGGAGUAUUAGUAGGAGAAAACCUGCGCACGGACAUGGUCAUCAGCAGUCACAUCAACAAAAUGCACAAAGUUCUUCCGUGGGUGCUUGUGUUGAAGUUGGGAAAUUUGGGCUUGAGGAAGAAGUAGAGAGGCUUAAGAGGGACAAGAACGUGCUUAUGCAGGAACUUGUUAGGUUGAGGCAGCAGCAGCAGGCUACUGAUAGCCAGCUGCAAACCAUGGUUCAACGUCUUCAGGGGAUGGAGCAGCGGCACCAGCAAAUGAUGGCAUUCCUGGCAAAAGCUGUGCAGAGCCCUGGUUUCCUAGCCCAGUUUGUACAGCAACAAAAUGAUAGCAAUAAACGGAUAGCUGAAGCCAACAAAAAGCGUAGGAUCAGGCAGGAAGGUGUUGCUGAAGAUGAUCAUGCUACUACUGCUGAUGGACAGAUUGUUAAGUACCAACCUUCUAUGAACGAGGCAGCAAAAUCAAUGCUUAGGAAGAUUAUAAAAAUGGAGAGUUCUCAGCUAGAAUCUUUUAACAACAAUCAUGAUAACUACCUGAUUGGAGAUGGUGCAUCGUCAUCUAAUACUGGAAGCACUUCAAGCCGUAUGUCAGGAGUAACUCUUCAAGAAGUCCCCCAAACUUCAGGACCUUAUGCGCCAGCAGCUUCUGGGAUAUUAGCGGAUGGUCCAUCAGCUGCUGCAACCGAAAGGCAAUCCUCUUCACGUUCCACAGCUUCUGAAAAGACUACAACAGAUCAGUUUCCAGAUAUUAAUUUGCUGGUAGCGGCACAAGAAGCAACCUCUCUUCCUAUUUCAGAGUCUGACGUAAUCAUGCCUGAUCUCGCUCAGAUUCCAGAAAUAAUGCCCGAAAGUAUGGAUGGUAUUCCUGCAGAAAGUUUCAUUGGAUCCAGGAUGGAGAAUGGAGGAUAUGUUGAUCCCACUUCAUUGAUAGUGAAUGGUUCAGUGCCUAUAGAAAUUGAUGACAUUUCAACUGAUGCUGAUAUUGAUGCUUUGCUAGAGAGUUCUGGCUUAUGGGAUAUUGUACACAGUCCAGUUCCCGAGGACAUUGAAUCAACCUCGGUGGAUGUCAAAACUGUGGGAAAUGAAAUGCAGGCAAUAGAGAACGGAUGGAACAAAGUCCAGAGUAUGGAUCAGCUCACGGAACAAAUGGGUCUUCUUAACUCGGAGACAAAAGAGGUCUGAUUUAAAAUGCUAAAUGUACCACUGGUUCUAUUAUCAUCUGAGGGUCAGAAAAUAGAGGGAAAAGGGGAAAAAAAUUGACAGUUCAUGAUCUACUUAUUUGGUCGAUGAAAACAGCUAAUUCCUUCUGUAGUAUCUCUUCAGCCUGGGUCUGUCGCAAUCACAUUGAAGCACCCAAUUUAGUGCCCCCCUCCUCUCUGGUAUUUGGAUGCUGCCCCAAGAUUCUAUAGUUUGUAUAGGUUGAUGUCCUCCUUCGGCGAGACAACCUUCGUUCUACCAAGGAUUGAUAUUGCUUAUAAUGAAUGCUUUCAUAAAUUUCGAUUAUAUUACCAUAAAAACUCCAAGGCAACGUCUAUUUUUGCAGUGGGGAUCACAAACCCUACUUCGGGCGCUCCAUUAUGUUCAAACACCAUUGAUAAGUAGAUAUCUAAGUCGAAGUUGCUGAGUUUAGAGAUGACGUUGCUACUAAAUGUUCAUUGGGUACAAUUCCGUCACCGCUGAAAAAAGCUCAAAUCUAAAGUGCCAAACAAAUGUACUCUUUUCUUUUUCAACAAAUGUUUAUCAGCCAGCAAGUAUAUUUCUAGCAGCAACCAGGUUAUAUUUGUUACUAACGGCUGGCCAAGAAUGUUUUAAAAACACAUUAUUGAAAAAUCGGAAGCAAUUAGAUUAAAUAUGCAUUUUAAAAAGUGCAAAGAAUGAGAGACACGUCAUAAAUCUUUAUUCACAAAAAAAUUAUCUUUUUUUCCGCUAAAAUUUCUGCAACAUAUUAGUUCACCAUCAAAAUUUUCUGAUAGAUAUAUUUUAUCACCAAAAGCUUAACACUACUAAAAAAUUAUUGAGGUCGUCAGGUAUUUAAGAAAUUUCAAGUUGAAGUUAUUUUCAUAUUUUUCUAGUUCUUUUCCGAAUUUUAUAUUUUUCUUUAGACAUUUGAUUUAGGAGCUUUUUUUUUCCCUUAUUUCAAUUAUUAAAAUUUUCCAAAAGAAAUUUUAAAAAUUGCUCUUUCGUUAUACCUAAUUUCAAAACAAUUAUGGAUGGAGAGUAAGUUUUCUUUUUGAAAGUAACAAAUAGUUAAGUUUAAGACUAUUGUUAUUCUCUUUUACCUUAAAAUAGUUGCUAAAUGUUAACAGUUAUUGACAUCUCAAUCCGGAACAUACCUAAAAGUUACCACAAUCCCGAUGCAAUGUGUGUUUUAGCUGCCAACGCUAAGCUCUCAAAUACUUUACAACUUGGCUUUUGCAAUUCAUCAUAUUAUUUCUCACACAAUUUUAGAUUUUACGAUUCUAUUGUAAAAAUCCAAAACAUAUCUUACUAUCAAUAGUAUAAGAUUCUCAAACUAUUAAUUGACAAAGCCAGUGGCUCCAGUAGAGCUACUCCACUGUGGAGAACUAACGAUGACCAUCAGAUCAUAAUAGUAAGUAUAAAUUUAAUAUUUAUCUCUAUAAUCACACAGUCAUCAUCAAGUGCUCUACCGUAAAGUAGUUUCAACAUAAUCGGAUCUAAUGACGAAUUGUAGUUAUAAAAUCUAGUAUAGAUUCAAGGCUUACCAUGAUAUACCAUAGUUAUAAAUCAAUUUGCCGUCCCUAACAAUGACAACUGCUUGCACUUAGCCAACUCAACUAUCUCCAUCGCCAUGGAAUACAUUUAAUGUGAAACAUAUCAGAGAAUUAUCAUUUGACCAAAUGGUAUAAACAAACAUAAAUAACAGAAUAUUUCAUUAGAAACCCCAGAAGGAGAACAUUUCAUUGAAAUGCUGAAUUUUCCACCAGCAGUAACGAAAUAAUAUACUCUUUAAAGAUUGAUCUUCCAUUUUCGCUAGGAACAAAGAGGCAUUUAGAGGUAUAAGGUAACUCAAUGGACACUAAUAAUAGAUACUAAAUAGCAAAGCUAUUUGAAGCACUAGAGAAUACUAAAAUGUAGAGAGUACUAAAAUGUUAUAUCUCAGCUCAAAAGGUGGACAGGUAGCAACUAAGAACUCUAGUUAGCAACUUUAGUUCAGUUUUAAUGUUUACUUCAUAUUUGGUUCACAAAAUUGUAAACCUGUUGGUUUCUUUCUAGUUCAGCUUUGAGCCAAAACCGAAUCGAACCAGAUGGUGUUGUGCAAGGUAACUGUAGAACUCUUUUAUUACUUUUGAAAGCUCUUUUAUGUUAAUUGGAUACCAGCAACCUUACAAUAAAUUAUUUCAACUUUUAACAUGUGAAUGUCAGUAAAGGACAAGAAACACAACCUCCUCCCAUGCAUAGGAGAAUUACUAUAUUUUAUUAUUUAUUAUUAUUAUUAUUAUUUUCUCUUUAAUAAUAAUGUCUUCAACUUUAUUACAAAGAGGACGUCUCACCCCUUGAGAGUUAAUUGUAGCAUGUGAUGCCAAAUAAUAACGGCGCACAAAAACUAUUUGCACAAACUUUUUUAUAGAAUUGAAUUGAUAGCUGACGUGGCAUAUGACCUAGUUAAGUGAUUGUAACUUAACGAUGUAAAAAGCAUAAGGACUAAAAAAAGUUUUAAAAAGAUUUUUUUAUUUUGUUUUUUUUUUAUAUUUCUCUCCCUUCACAUCACUAACUCCUCUGCGUUAAAGAGUAUAGUAAUGAUUGUGACAUAGAGGCUUGAUGCAUUGCGAUCAUGAAAAGGAAGGUGAUAUAGAGGUUUGAUUAAUUGCAAAGCAUUAUAAGCCUUGUAGUUUAGUCAGCAGCUUAGUAAACUUAGUUAUGUUGACGUGGAAAGUUAGUUAUGACAAGAUUUGAUGAUUGUUUGACAUGAACCCCGCUAAGAACUUAUGCGACCCUAAUCAAUUUAGUUUCUAAGAUUAAAUCUAAACCUAUAAUUUAAUGAAACUGCGAUCCGAUGCUCAAUGAAAGCAUGAAUUUUGAUAUGUGAGGUCGCCACAAUCAGUUAUGGAUGAUCUAAUUGAUAAUUAAGAGUUUGAACACCACAAAAAUCUGAUAAGUUCAAAGAGUUUGUUUAAAAACUAAAAAGAAUUAACUCUCUCACUAAUUGCAUCAAAACCGAUCUAUCUCUAUUUAUUGGAUAGGAGUACAUUAAAUAGGUUGGUUACAAGAAUUUUUGGAAAUAAAUCGUACACCAAAAUCAAAUCGGAAUCUUAAUUUAAAGCAAAUAAGGAAAGAAUAUAAAUCAAAUCAUAAUCUUAAUCUAAGCGAAUGGGAAAGAAUCUAAAUCAAACCCGAAUCUUAAUCGGCUUAAAUGCCUUACAUCAAUUAAAAUAUAAACUCGAAAAUUAAAAGCGAAAUAACUGAUUUGUUUCUAGAGAAAUGGAAAAGUGUCCAAAAAGAAAAUUAGUAUAUUUUCCAAAUGGAAAAAUAUCUAAAAAAGAAAAAUAAUAUAUUUUCCCACCAUAAUGUGCAAGCCAACUUUCCAUUUCAUGGAAGUGAUUAUUUGGAAACUUUAAGAGCCUAAAUCAUGCAUUUAUCAUGUUCGAUUCCUUCAACGGGGCUCCACGAAUUUGAUUGAGCACAAGUUGCUUAAAUCAACCCAUUAAAUGGUUCUUUGAAUUUCUUUGCUCGAACUUUUGCGACUGAUCCGACAUGAACUUAAAUAGAAUCUGAAUAUACCUUAUCUCAUGUGCUUGUGACAAUUUUGUCCUAAAUCUCACCAUUCCCCUCCUCUUGAAAAGGAUUUGUCACCAAAUCAUCAUUUGCAUGAAAAUGACUCAAAUUAGAAACAUUAAAAGUAGCACUUACGUUAUACUCAUUGGGCAAAUCCAACUUGUAUGCAUUGUCAUUGAUCCAUUCUAAAACUUGGAAAGGACCAUCCCUUCGAGGUAAUAACUUAGAUUUACUCUGUUUCGGAAAUCGUUCAUUGCCCAUGUGUAAGCACACCUAAUCGUUGGGUUCAAAAACUAGCUUAUGUUGUCCUUUGUUGGCUUGUUUAACAUAUUGUUCAGUUCUUCACUCAAUGUUGAACUUCGCCAUCUCAUGUAUUUGUUUAAUAGUUUCAGCAUUUUUCUUGCCAUCUAAGUUAACAUGCUUAGAAACAGGUAGUGGAGUUAAAUCCAAUGGGGUUAAAGGAUCAAAACCAUAAACAAAAUUUAAACGGUGAAUACUUAGUAGUAGAAUAAACAGCUGCUGUACCGUACAUCCGCCUUGGCCGUACAGCAGUACAAAGAGCUUCUUUAAUGUAACGCCUUUUUUUUUUUACAGGGGGGGAAGAAAACCCUAAUUGUUUUAUAGUGAAAAAAAAGUUAAAAUUUUUAGUGUGAUUAAUUCACGAAUUUGUUAGCAUGGAUGGAGCCGCCAACAGGGGCGGAGGCGCUGGUGAUCCAUCGGCGACUGGUGGUGGUGGUACGCCUCCAUCGCAGCCGAC
rnacentral:lncRNA from 1 species